UUAUUUUUUUAUUUCUGAUGCAAAUUGAUAGUCCAAGUCAGUUACAUUUUCUUUUGGAAAUCUGAAACCUGCUGCCCAAUCCAGUUUGAUUUCCAUUAAUUAAUGCUUAUUAACAACAACAGGUUGCAAUAUAACUUCGGCUGCCUGGUGACCGGUUUCCUUUUUGAGGUAUUUUCUCAGGGUAAGCACGCGCACGCUUCUCCUCUCCAAUUGCAAAAUUAAAUUUGCUGACCUUGAUGUUUUGCUCCCUUUUCUCCUUUGAUUUUUCUUUUUCACUAAGGACAUAUUCUAUAUAACGCUUCCUGUUAUACUCAUCCCACUUUUGUUCUCUCAGCUGUUCCUGUUGUCUUUUUUUCUCUUUUAGCCUUAUGGCAUUUUUUCUGCCUUCAUCAAUAGCUUUUAGCAUUUUUGCUCUCAUUUUUUCUUCUUCGAGGCAUCUGGCUUUAAAUUCUCUGGCCUUUUUUUCCGCAUAAGCCUUUUCUAAUUCUGCUUCUCUUAAGGCUUUUUUAACAGCCUGUGCUUUUUGCUUUGCUUCCAGUUUUUCUGAAGCGAUGUCUGCUGUUAGCUGUCUUCUUCUGACCCUGGCCAUGGUGUGAGACAUGGAGAGAGUCGUCUUUUUAUCGACUUCUUUUUUAACAGUUAUCUCACCUCCUUUCGCCAUGAGGCAUUUUUAAGUUUCUCUUCAAUUGCCAGGUUUGGCGCCUGAAAAACCUCGAUUUUUUUGUUUAAUUCCGAUUAUUUGUGAUGUUGUUCGUUGCGUUUAUCUUAACCUUAAAACGUAAAUAUAGGUUAGUUUUAAGGUUACCUGCUAAUCCUUUCGAAGAAAUUUUUGAUGUGUUCUUUUUGUUUUCGUUUCAGUUUUCUGUCAGCAACUGUUGCCUAGUGACAGAAAAUAAAGGUAACUUGUUACGCUGGCGGGUGACGUGACGAAUCCUACUUCCGGGCCUAAAGUAGUCUGCGUUUAAUAUGGCUUUUGUGUUGUUAACAUGUUUAAUGUUAUGUCUUUUCUUCUAUUUAAUCUCAAAAAGCUCCCAAAACAGUCAGUGAUCACUGUUGACCUCCCUCGGCUUUUAUUACCGCUAAUCAUUUAUUUAAACUCAGUUUUUAAA
ensembl:lncRNA